rnacentral:tRNA from 1 species
GGCGGUAUCGUCUAGUGGUUAGGACAGAUGGUUCUCAGCCUUCAAACCGGGGUUCAAUUCCCCGUACCGCUA